rnacentral:rRNA from 1 species
GGCUCAGAUUGAACGCUGGCGGCAUGCCUUACACAUGCAAGUCGAACGCGAAAGUAGGGGCAACCCUGCGAGUAGAGUGGCGAACGGGUGAGUAACACAUCGGAACGUACCCAGGAGUGGGGGACAACCUCGAGAAAUCGAGGCUAAUACCGCAUACGUCCUGAGGGAGAAAGCGGGGGAUUCGCAAGGACCUCGCGCUCAUGGAGCGGCCGAUGUCGGAUUAGCUAGUUGGCGGGGUAAAGGCCCACCAAGGCUACGAUCCGUAGCUGGUUUGAGAGAACGACCAGCCACACUGGGACUGAGACACGGCCCAGACUCCUACGGGAGGCAGCAGUGGGGAAUUUUGGACAAUGGGGGAAACCCUGAUCCAGCCAUGCCGCGUGAGUGAAGAAGGCCUUCGGGUUGUAAAGCUCUUUCGGCCGGAACGAAAUCGCGU